rnacentral:rRNA from 1 species
GAUGAACGCUGACAGAAUGCUUAACACAUGCAAGUCUACUUGAAUUUGGGUUUUUUAACUUAGAUUUGGGUGGCGGACGGGUGAGUAACGCGUAAAGAACUUGCCUCACAGCUAGGGACAACAUUUGGAAACGAAUGCUAAUACCUGAUAUUAUGAUUUUAAGGCAUCUUAGAAUUAUGAAAGCUAUAUGCGCUGUGAGAGAGCUUUGCGUCCCAUUAGCUAGUUGGAGAGGUAACGGCUCACCAAGGCGAUGAUGGGUAGCCGGCCUGAGAGGGUGAACGGCCACAAGGGGACUGAGACACGGCCCUUACUCCUACGGGAGGCAGCAGUGGGGAAUAUUGGACAAUGGACCAAGAGUCUGAUCCAGCAAUUCUGUGUGCACGAUGACGUUUUUCGGAAUGUAAAGUGCUUUCAGUUGGGAAGAAAAAAAUGACGGUACCAACAGAAGAAG